GAACGGGUGAGUAACGCGUGAGGAACCUGCCUCAAAGAGGGGGACAACAGUUGGAAACGACUGCUAAUACCGCAUAAGCCCACGGGUCGGCAUCGACCAGAGGGAAAAGGAGCAAUCCGCUUUGAGAUGGCCUCGCGUCCGAUUAGCUAGUUGGUGAGGUAAUGGCCCACCAAGGCGACGAUCGGUAGCCGGACUGAGAGGUUGAACGGCCACAUUGGGACUGAGACACGGCCCAGACUCCUACGGGAGGCAGCAUG
rnacentral:rRNA from 1 species